rnacentral:rRNA from 1 species
GUCCACGCUGUAAACGAUGGGCACUAGGUGUCCGAGGUAUUGACCCCUUGGGUGCCGCAGCUAACGCAUUAAGUGCCCCGCCUGGGGAGUACGGUCGCAAGAUUAAAACUCAAAGGAAUUGACGGGGGCCCGCACAAGCGGUGGAGCAUGUGGUUCAAUUCGACGCAACGCGAAGAACCUUACCUGGGCUAGACAACGGUGGACCGUCCUAGAAAUAGGACUUUCCCUUCGGGGACUGCCGGUUCAGGUGCUGCAUGGCUGUCGU